rnacentral:rRNA from 1 species
ACUAGUGAUUUCCGUAGUUGAACCUGCGGAAGGAUCAUUCGCACAAAAUGUUCUUUCACACCCGCCACACACCAUAUUGAUACCCCCUGUUUUAAAAAAGGACGCCUUGUCCAUCUCAUCGAUGUUGCAACUUCAUUGUAACGUUUACGAUGUAAUCUAUCUCUUGCAACGACGAAUGCCUUGGCUCGAGGAUCGUUGAAGGACGCAGCGAACUGUGUUACACAUCUCGAAUUGCAGAUUUCCGAGAAAGAUAAGGAUUCUGAACGCAUUCUGCGAGUUGGGCUUGCUCAACUCACGUGGUUGGCGGUGAUCGCAAUAUACAGUCGUUCAAACUCUGAAGUUUGAAUGGUUAUCUUGUGUUGUCGUUUGUAAAAACGCCGACGCAAUCGAAGUAGAAGCGUGUCUCAUAACUUCGAGCACCGAUUGUAACUUUCAGUUCAUUCGUGUUUAAGUUUUGUGACGAGCAACAGUUUGAGUAAUCAAAUUAUUUUUCUCGCACGCUCACGACCAAUCACGGGAUUACCCGCUGAAUUUAAGCAUAUCAAUA